rnacentral:rRNA from 1 species
AUUACCUCAGUAACGGCGAGUGAAGCGGUAACAGCUCAAAUUUGAAAUCUGGGUCUUUCAGGCUCCGAGUUGUAAUUUGUAGAAGAUGCUUUGGGUGCGGCCCCGGUCUAAGUUCCUUGGAACAGGACGUCAUAGAGGGUGAGAAUCCCGUAUGUGAUCGGUGGCUUGCGCCCGUGUAAAGCUCUUUCGACGAGUCGGGUUGUUUGGGAAUGCAGCUCUAAAUGGGUGGUAAAUUUCAUCUAAAGCUAAAUAUUGGCCAGAGACCGAUAGCGCACAAGUAGAGUGAUCGAAAGAUGAAAAGCACUUUGGAAAGAGAGUUAAACAGUACGUGAAAUUGUUGAAAGGGAAGCGCUUGCAACCAGACUUGCGCGGGGUUGAUCAUCCGGGGUUCUCCCCGGUGCACUCGGCCUCGCUCAGGCCAGCAUCGGUUUCGGUGGUUGGAUAAAGGCCUUGGGAAUGUGACUCCUUUCGGGGAGUGUUAUAGCCCUCGGUGCAAUGCAGCCUACCGGGACCGAGGACCGCGCUUCGGCUAGGAUGCUGGCGUAAUGGUUGUAAGCGACCCGUCUUGAAACACGGACCAAGGAGUCUAACAUCUAUGCGAGUGUUUGGGUGUCAAACCCAUACGCGUAAUGAAAGUGAACGGAGGUGAGAACCCUUAAGGGUGCAUCAUCGACCGAUCCUGAUGUCUUCGGAUGGAUUUGAGUAAGAGCAUAGCUGUUGGGACCCGAAAGAUGGUGAACUAUGCCUGAAUAGGGUGAAGCCAGAGGAAACUCUGGUGGAGGCUCGCAGCGGUUCUGACGUGCAAAUCGAUCGUCAAAUUUGGGUAUAGGGGCGAAAGACUAAUCG